GAUGAACGCUGGCGGCGUGCUUAACACAUGCAAGUCGAACGAAGCACUUUAUUACGAUUUCUUCGGAAUGACGAUUUAGUGACUGAGUGGCGGACGGGUGAGUAACGCGUGGGUAACCUGCCUUAUACAGGGGGAUAACAGUUAGAAAUGACUGCUAAUACCGCAUAAGCGCACAGGAUUGCAUGAUCUGGUGUGAAAAACUCCGGUGGUAUAAGAUGGACCCGCGUCUGAUUAGCUGGUUGGUGAGGUAACGGCCCACCAAGGCGACGAUCAGUAGCCGACCUGAGAGGGUGACCGGCCACAUUGGGACUGAGACACGGCCCAAACUCCUACGGGAGGCAGCAGUGGGGAAUAUUGCACAAUGGGGAAACCCUGAUGCAGCGACGCCGCGUGAGCGAAGAAGUAUUUCGGUAUGUAAAGCUCUAUCAGCAGGGAAGAAAAAAUGACGGUACCUGACUAAGAAGACCCCGGCUAACUACGUGCCAGCAGCCGACGG
rnacentral:rRNA from 1 species